rnacentral:lncRNA from 13 species
GGUAGGAAGGGAGGGAGGGAGGGAGGGAGGAUCCAGCCCUCCUUCCUCCCUCCCACUCACUUCCACCCAACCUCCCGAUUCUGUCUUUAGAACACGUGGCUUUUGUCUCUGCCCCAAGGCCUUUGCACGAGCUGCUCCGACGUGCACGUGGCCAGUCCAGCAGCUUCCUUGCUGCCCACCUGUGGCCGGCCACGUCCCUCCAAUCUUCAGAUGCUCUUUUUUGUUUUCUUUUUCUUUAUAGUUUUAUUUUUUUGAGAUGGGGGUGGUGGUUUCCCUAUGUUGCCCAGUCUGGUCUCCACCUCCUGAGCUCAAGCGAUCCUCCUGCCCCGGCCUCCCAAAAUGCUGGGCUCACAGCGUGAGCCACCUCGCCUGGCCCCGACACCCAUUUUUAUGUUCAGUUUGACAAUAUUUGUGCCAAGUGAGUCAGAGAUGGUACAGCAAGGGAAGAAGACACGUUCCCUUCCCUCUAGAAAGUCACAGGCGCGCCCAGAAGACAGAAGACUUGCAGCGCCCGGGGACGGGGUAAAAGAGCCGGUUCUUCAGAAGAGACAGGACCUCGGGAGCCUAGAACCUUCCACCAACACGGAAAAGCACCUCACAGCAAACCACAUGGCAAACCUUGGACUCUCAGUGCCUCCACUCAGAACCGGUAACGUUGACGCCACUCCGGUCAAGACCUGGCAUGUGUCCGGGUGUGCACGCACAAUUCCGGUCGGGACCUGGUGUGUGUGUCCGGGUGUGCUCGCACAAUUCCGGUCAUGACCUGGCGUGUGUGUCCCGGUGUGCACACACAAUUCUGGUCGGGACCUGGCGUGUGUGUCCAGGUGUGCACGCACAAUUCCGGCCGGGACCUGGCGUGUGUGUCCGGGUGUGCACACACAAUUCCGGUGGGGACCUGGCGUGUGUGUCCAGGUGUGCAUGCACAAUUCCAGUCAUGACCUGGCGUGUGUGUCCAGGUGUGCACGCACAAUUCCGGUCGGGACCUGGCGUGUGUGUCCGGGUGUGCAC